GCACUCGUGGUGUAGUGGCUAACACCCUUGUUUUCAAAUUUCGGGUCCCGGGUUCAAUCCCCACCAGGGUCA